rnacentral:rRNA from 1 species
UACGUAGGGGGCUAGCGUUGUCCGGAAUCAUUGGGCGUAAAGAGCGUGUAGGCGGCCCGGUAAGUCCGCUGUGAAAGUCGGGGGCUCAACCCUCGAAUGCCGGUGGAUACUGUCGGGCUAGAGUGCGGAAGAGGCGAGUGGAAUUCCUGGUGUAGCGGUGAAAUGCGCAGAUAUCGUGAGGAAGACCAGUGGCGAAGGCGGAUCUCUGGACAGUUCCUGACGCUGAGGCACGAAGGUCAGGGGAGCAAACGGG